rnacentral:rRNA from 1 species
AGUGAACGCUGGCGGUAGGCCUAACACAUGCAAGUCGAACGGCAGCACAGUAAGAGCUUGCUCUUACGGGUGGCGAGUGGCGGACGGGUGAGGAAUACAUCGGAAUCUACUUUUUCGUGGGGGAUAACGUAGGGAAACUUACGCUAAUACCGCAUACGACCUACGGGUGAAAGCAGGGGAUCUUCGGACCUUGCGCGAUUGAAUGAGCCGAUGUCGGAUUGGCUGGUUGGGGGGGUAAAGGCCCACCAAGGCGACGAUCCGUAGCUGGUGUGAGAGGAUGAUAGGCCACAUUGGAACUGAGCCAGGGUCAAGACGCCUAAGGGAGGCAGCAGUGGGGAAUAUGGGACAAUGGGCGCAAGCAUGACCCAGUCAUCGCGAGUGUGUGACGAAGGCCUUCGGGUUGGAAAGACCGUCUGUUGGGAAAGAAAAGCAGCAGGUUAAUACCCCGCUGUUCUGACGGUACUGAAAGAAUAAGCACCGGCUAACUUCGUG